UACGUAGGGCGCAAGCGUUAUCCGGAAUUAUUGGGCGUAAAGAGCUCGUAGGCGGUUUGUCGCGUCUGCCGUGAAAAGUCCGGGGGCUCAACUCCGGAUCUGCGGUGGGUACGGGCAGACUAGAGUGAUGUAGGGGAGACUGGAAUUCCUGGUGUAGCGGUGAAAUGCGCAGAUAUCAGGAGGAACACCAGUAGCGAAGGCGACACUCUGGGCCGGUACUGACGCUGAGGAGCGAAAGCGUGGGGAGCAAACAGG
rnacentral:rRNA from 1 species